CCUACGGGAGGCAGCAGUGAGGAAUAUUGGUCAAUGGUCGUAAGCCUGAACCAGCCAAGUCGCGUGAGGGAUGAAGGUACUGUGGAUCGUAAACCUCUUUUAUCAGGGAAUAAAGAGCGGGACGUGUCCCCGUUUGUGUGUACCUUAUGAAUAAGGAUCGGCUAACUCCGUGCCAGCAGCCGCGGUAAUACGGAGGAUGCAAGCGUUAUCCGGAUUUAUUGGGUUUAAAGGGUGCGUAGGCGGUGAGGUAAGUCAGCGGGGAAAUGCCCCGGCUCAACGGGGUGAAGUGCCAUUGAUACUGGCAGGCUGGAAUGCGAAUGAAGUAGGAGGAAUGUGUGGUGUAGCGGUGAAAUGCAUAGAUAUCACACAGAACACCGAUUGCGAAGGCAGCACACGGAUCCGCGAUUGACGCUGAUGCACGAAAGCGUGGGUAUCGAACAGGAUUAGAUACCCGGGUAGUC
rnacentral:rRNA from 1 species